rnacentral:lncRNA from 1 species
ACUUGGACGCCGCGGGCUCUGAGGCCGGAGCUGCAGCCGCUGCGCCUCGAGCUCCCCGCGCCCUGACGCGGUCCACCCAGGCUCAGCUCCCUUGCGCGCCCCGUCUUCGCCUAUUUCCCGCAACUUUACAAAAAAAAAAAAAAAAGGACGACCUCCCCGCUUUGGUGAGGCGGUCUGGGUUUAGAGACGCACCUCCGGGGAAAUCUGCUAUCUUUCUGCCCCCUCUAGAGCGGGGCCAGAAGCUUCGAGGACCGGGAGGGAGAAUUUGGCCGCGCCCCCCAGCUCAGGUGCGCGGCGGGCCAGAGAUUCCUAGUCGAGGGUCCUGGGAGGUAGACGCGUGUUCCAAGACCCCACCCUUCCAAGAGCUCCUUAAUGGAUUCAGUGGGCACUAGGGCCCCGGGAGAAAAGGGGCGGAGAUUCCCGUUCCCAUUUCUCAGGUGAGGAAACUGAUCCGAGAAAGGAUAUUUUAUCUCUCAGGCAGGCAUCAGCCUCAACUCUUGAGUCCCGGGGCUAAAACGACUACGUACAUUUGGUGCCCUGAGACCAUGGCCUACGCACUCAAAACCCGAAACAAUGCUUGGAACAGCAGCGCUCAAUAGGUACUGAUUGAAAGACAGAAGGAAAACUCAGCCUUGCCAGAGUAGGCGCCCAGUGGGGACAGAGUUGGGCCCGCAUAUCCCGCUUUCACUCCAUCAGUGGCCUCCAUAUGCCCAUCUUAGGCUAAUUAAUCCUGCUGCUGCAGAUGUCUUCACCUCACGUACCCAUGGUGCAAGCCCCGGGCUCAUAUAAUCCCAACUGCAUAUAAUCCCAAAGUGGAAGUUUUCUCCAAUUCUUUGGGAUUCGUGGGGGCGGAUUUGUGCAAGGCCGACCUUCCUCUGCGAGGCGAAGAAAACGCAGUCCCCAGACCCAAGCAGGGGAGGGAGAGGGGGAGGGCGGUUGGGGAAGUCAGCCUAGGGUUAAACGUUACAGCCUGAGAUCGAUUGGGGCCCAGAUAACAGGGAGUUAACUGUGGCGAUCCGGGCGCCUGCAGCCACAGGCGCGGCCUCGGUGGGAGAAGCGAAACUGUCUCCCACCUCGCUGCUUCCUCUCCUCUGCUCUGCGCAGCCUGGCUGUCUCCGAGGCUGGCGCGAGGGCUUAUGGAGCAUGGAUCUCCUGGCAGCAGCAGCUGGUGCCCACCUUCCACGCCUUCUAUAUGUGGCCUUGGGGCCUUGACCCAGCCGGGGUGGGGUGGGGGGAGGUGUCAAAGGGCAGAGCUCAUCUGGAAUGUGUUGCCUCUCUGCCACUCCUGAUAUCCAAGACCACACGAAGUGACCCCUCCCCAGACAUCGUGGACACCUGCUCCCAACCAGUUCCUUCCGAAUGCUGAGAAGUGGUCUCCCUUAACUACUAUGCCAAGAAAUGGCUCCCUUGGGGAGGCGUUUAGUCUCUCUCCUCCUUGCCAGCAGUCCUUUUAAUGCCCCCCUCCAAACAAACAUCCCAUGUGAGUAAAAGUAAGGUGCUUGCUAUGGAAACCGUUUUAAGACGCCCAUCACCCCCAGAAGAUCACUUCCAAACUGCUUAAAGAUAGGUAUGCUGGGCCUCAGUGUGAAUGUCAGGCACUGUGUUGGGCACUGACCGUGCAAGGAAAAAGGAAGCAAAAGCCCAGGUGUAGGAUCUCCAAGCAUUUAACUCACCUCCAUCUACCUUUUCUGGGGAAGCUGAGGCACAGACUGUGAGGGAGGACCUGCUCCCUGGGAGUCAGCAGCAGGUCUCAGAGGGUUAGGAUCCAUGAAGUCAAACUCUAUUCCACAGAUCUCCUGAAGCCUAACGCCAGUACAGAGUCAGGUCAUGCACGCCCCACAAAAAGCUUUAUGCUGGGGUCCAUGGCAGAGGGUGGGUAGUAAUUCUACUUUAGGGAACUGCUGACUAUUACCCACUUUUUUUUCAGACUUAUGCCUCCACCCCCACCCCCAACUCAGGCGGGAGGCCAGGGAUCCACAGGCUGCAAUGGAGGAAGGCCAGGUGGUCCCAGUGGUGAUGGCUUCCUCAGGGAAGGGGUGUUGACUUGUCUGGCCCAGUUUAGGGGGUGGAUCUUGGAGUUUUCCCUUGCUGGAAAUUAACACCUUGGGAGGGAGACCUAGACUGUCACCUAUCCAACCCAUAUGGGAGCCACAGAGGAAAAGGACAGAAUUGUCCACACAGAAAGUGUUACAGAAACAGAAAAUGUCAUGUGCAAGCCAUCCACAAAGAACUCUCCACCACAGAUGCCAAUGAGACAAGCGGGGGACAUCCAGGAAGGAUGGGGUGAGGAUCUCUGCCCUUGGGUGAGACUGUCCCCACCACAGCCCCCUUCCCCAAGAAGAAGGGAAGCUUGGUUCACUAUUCUCCCACCUCUGCCUACCUCAAAAAGGAGAAUUGAAGUCUCACCUUGCUAUUAAACUUUUUGCUGAGUUUUUUGAACCAAUCAGCCUUCAAGUCAGGAAGAAGCUCCUUCAGUCUCCAGCACCGCUGGGGGAGAUGGCCCCUGCAUCACCAGCCUUGUCUUCUAGGGAGGGGUGCGUCCACCCGGGACCCUGGAGUGUGCUCUCCUGGAUCCUGCUGAUAAUACCCAUGGCUGGUAUUUGUGCAGCCCUUACCCUGAGCAGGGCAUUGUGCUAAACAGUUAAGGUACAUUAUCUUAUUUAGCCCUUAUAGCAGCCCCUGCAAUAAUGUCAUCCCCAUUAUUCAGAUGAGGAAACUGAAAUGAGAUUGGCAUCAGAGCUGUUCUCAAACCCCUGAGGCCAUGUGCUAUUCUAGGGAGGCUUUCCACAGCCUCCAGUGAGGCUCAUCUGCUUCACAUCCUGCAGUGGUUCCUCACAGACUACCCUACUCAGCCUGGCUUCCCUAACUGACUCUCUUCCCUGCCAGGCCCUGCUGACCAAUGCCAUCUAACACUGGCAGUUCCCUCUGACACCCCAAGACUCCUCUCCAGAUUUCCAGAGCUUUGCAUGUACCAUUCCCUCUGCCAAGAUAGGCCUCAUCAAGCUCACCUCAUGAACUCCUCAUGGAAGACCAGGAGCACAUAUCACCUGGGAACCAUCUCAGACUGCCACUUCCAGCCUGAGUUUGGGCCAUACCUACAGGGCCACCACUAGCCUUUGUGCAAAUCAGAAAAAGGUACCCACUUUUGGCAGAUACAGGAAACCAUGAAGGAGGUCACAGACUGCCUUUCAGCUUCCUAGCUCCCUUUGCUAGGUGCCUUUUUGCAGUGCAUGCACAGGACAGAUGUACUCUGUGGCCUGGCUUUGGGUCCUUCAUCUGGCUUUGGGACCCCUCCUAUGGCCACAGUGACCACAAUGCACAGAAAUAGCUUUUAUUUGCUCAUCUCACUACUUGUCCCCUCGCCACCACCUCCCGCCAUGAAAAUUCUUUGAAGGUAAGGAGGAGUCCCCUACCUGCCUUGGGCCCGAAGCUUGGCCUCCAAAGAGGUACCAGUAAUAACAAUUGUAGCCAGAAUCUUUCUGAGCUCUUGCUUGUCAGGGACCAUGCUAAUUGCUUUUUGAACAUAGGCUUAUUAAAUCCACAGGCUUGGACACCUGUGUGAGGUUACAAAGUAGCAAAACCAGGAUUUCAAUCCAUGCCUUGUCUGAGGCAUUUUCCAUGACUGCCAUUUAUCUGCUAAUAUCUGUCAUUGAUUAAACAUCCAGUGACUGGAAAUGGCCACAUGGAGAGGAGUGUGGGAGUUAGGAUCUCCAAUAAAGAUGGCCAAUUUGGAACUCAGUCUAAGGUUUACCCUUCUUUGGGCCCCAGUUCUGUCACCUGUAUCACAAAGGAUGGGAGCAAAGGCAUUUGAAACCCUGCCUGCUGGGGCAGGGCACAGGAUAGUGUUCAGUGGGGUCAUGCUGGACUGUGACCUCAGCCAAAAUCCCAGGGCAGGCCUGGGGGUGCAAACACGGGCAGAGGCAGGGAGGAGCCUAACCGCACCAGACUGUGGCCCCGGGCCUUUGGGUCUGGGCCCUCACGCACUGACCACUGGACUUUAGGUCCUCCCCACCCCACCCCCAUGACGUCUGAAGGAGCAGAGAGCUGUGAAAUGAAAAUUCAAAAAGCCAAGUCUCUCAAGUAACCCAGGCUUGCCCAUUCCUGAGAAGUCAGUUUGGUGGCCAAUGCCUGGCCUUGACCUGUGUAAACAGAGGGGAAGGGAUGAGGACAGAAGGAAGACUCCAGUCCCAGAACAAAAUGACUCUGGGGACAGAGGCUGAGAGAAAGCAGGAAGCAAGCUAUAUUUCCCAUUGCCCAGGCACAGCUACAUACACGCCAUAGACAACCAGAUACAGCCCUGUUCUCAGUGAGGCACAGGGAACUCAGCCUGUAUAUGGGAUAUUGAUGGGGAGAGGGACAGUUUGGGGGCUGUUGUGCCCCUGACAAUAACCCUUGGCUUCUCUAGACACAAUCAUGGUUCAACUCUGUCCUAUGGGAGUGGGACUGAGUGCUCCCAGAGGCCAAAGCUGUGGCUCCAGCCUCCCUGCCACACUUCAGGAAGAGGGAGGGAGAGCAUUGCUGAGAGGUGGGGAGGUAACUGAAUGGGGCCUUAGGGGAGGCAGAGGCACAGUGUCCCAAUCUGGAGCCCUGCACCUGGAGGAGGGGUGCCCUGGGCAGGAGAAGCCAGCCUGCCCUGAAAGUGCCCUGCCCGACCCAAAGCCUGAAGGCUAGGGUGUGGUGGUGUGGGGGAGGCCUGCUGGAGGAGGCAGGGUGGGGCUCAGCCUCCUCUCUACAAAUCUGGUCCUGGAGGGCAGUGCAGGGUCAGAAAUGGCCCGCACUGAGACUUCCGAAAAUGGCCCAGCCUCUUUCUCUUCAGACCUGGGGCCCCAAGACCCCAGCUACCACCCCCUACUCUGCCCUUCCCUUCAGACUCCAAGGAAUGGGGUGCUCAGACAGUGCUUGGGGGUGGGCCCGGGAUGAACUGCUCUUUGAACUGGUGAGACUGGUUCUGUGUCUAGCCGCCUGGGCAGUCACGGGUUGCCUGCCAGGCCUGGGAGGAGGGAGGCCUCAAGAAAGGGCCCCUCGUAAAUCGUUAACUCCCAGAGCCCAGCCGCCGCUGGGUGCCCUGGGCCCCACCCCCAGUCAUGACUCUGGUCCUGAGAAUGCCCAUCCCAGCCCAGAAGUCAAAGGUUAGAGGUCAGAGCCAGACGUCCCAGCACCUGGGCAAGUCCUUCCCCCAGCUAGCAACAGGGAGGGGAGCAGGAGGGCUUUCUGUGGGGACGCUGCUUCCUUCGAAUCCGGAAGCUUUUCAUCCUCGUCUGCCAUCCAGCCGUCUUGCAUCCCUGCCCUUUGCCUCUCAGGAGAGGCAGGCCUCUGGGUGGGCUUCCUGGGGCAACCCCUGGGCAAGUCCCAAUCCCACCAGUCCUUUCUCCUCCUGGAGAUAAUUAUGCCAGACCCACUCACUCCACCUCAAAGGCGUCACCAGGACUAGAAGGUGAAUGAGAUGAGGAAAAGAACUAGAUACUGUUCAGAAUUGGGACAGGACCCUUUGUAGAGGCACUGUGUUAAGUGAUCCCUUCACCAGCAUGCUAGGUCAUCUGUUUAGCAAUCUCAUUCCCACUUUGCAAAUAAGUAAACUGAGGCUCUGAGAGGGGAAUGACUGAUUCACCCAGGCUAUGGCGGCUGUACAGGAAAGAGCUUGGAUUUGGUCCAGUUUUGUGCUAUCAAGCUGAGCCUUGAAUGGGGUUCAGCCCUCUCCUCAAAUUCCUAAGCUACAGGUGUGAGGACACACCCUAAAGGCAGAAUGGGCUGGACAACCCCUCUCUCCCACGGAAACACUGUCAGGGGCCCCUGAGAUGGGGGCAGAUGGGGGAGUGUAUGUGGGCAGGAGACGGUCAAUGCCCCCCCCACCUCUCCGAGCCCCUCCCCGAGGGCAACCCUCCCCCAGGUCACACCCCGCUAGGUGCCACGACAGAGGAGACUUGGUUGCUGUCCCCCACCCCACCCUCAAGAAAAAUUCUCCAGACAGACUAAUGAGGAGGAUUGAUGGUGCUACCACCCUUUUCACUAGGGAGGCAUCUCAGAAGCCGAGGAGACGAGAAAAAACAACAUCAACUUUUAAUCGAGAUUGCAGAUUCAGAAAAGAUUCAUAAGUGAAAUGAUUCCCUAAGGAAAUAUAAAAAGUUACUUACGGCAUUGCUAAAUUGGGCAUGCUUCAAUCAGGGGCUGUUGAGAAAUCAUUAAGAUCUACAAGACGAUGUUUUAGAUAUAUGUGAGCUCCGUCAGGAGGGCUGGCUAUUGCUCCAGCUAGAGAGAGGGGAUCUGGUCCUGAGCUGGCUGGCCUCCUGUGUCACCCACCUCAAUCCAGGGGAAGGAGGAGAAAGUGAAGAGAAUCCCUACCUGCCAGGCUCCAAAGGCCACUGCCCAGAGACUGCAACUGUGUCCAGAGGCCCAGAGACUACAGCAAGGGAGAGUGCAGCAGUGGGGCUGUGGUUAGAUGGAACUGUUUAUUGUUGGAAGUAACUUUUUUCCCUUUCAAAUGGCCUAAUGGGGAAUGGUAGGGCUGUAACUAUCUACUUCCCUUGAAAUACUAAAGAGGGGACACCCCCUUCAUAUCCCCUGAUCCCUUUCCCUGUUCCUUGAGUUGGCCUGAGGAAGUGGGCACCCUACUUGGAGACAGAAUUACCAGAAUACACUCUUAGACCUAUGCCUGAGAUCUUUGCUGGAGGGGUGAGGGAUGGGGGAGAUCACUCUGUUUGGUCACUCCCUCCAGGGAACACUAGGGGAGUGGACCAUCCUAGGGAAUGUUCUAGGAUGAUCACUAGCUUUUGAGGACAUCUUCCCCUCCCCACUGCAGCCAUUUUCUCAGGUGGAAGGCUUACCUGAGGCUCCACCUUCCGCUCUUGCUGCAGCCUGGGAGGGGUUUUUUUUCCUCAGGCCUAGGGACUUUCAGAGUCAGUCUGGGACAUCAGUGAAACAUGGGAGCGACAGGAUCACAAUGCAUACUGAUCUCUCCCUCUGUGCACUCCUGGGGCUCAGGAGAGGGAUAAGGCCUUACCCAUCUCCAUGCUGUCCAGGGCCUGGUCCCAGUUGGUGCUAAAUGUUUAGGGAAGGCAUCGGGAUGUGGCUGGACCAAGUCUGUUCCAUGUCGGGGGGAAGGGCACAGGAAAAAGAGAGAUGGACCAGGGCCUGCUGUGGGGGCUCUAGUGGCCACACCUGGAUUCCUUUCCUUAGAUCCAUCUGCCUGGGUGAGCCCCCUCCUCCACCGCCAAAUCAUCUGGGAAGGCAAGAAACCCGAGCCGGAUGGUGGUGGCCACACUGCCUUGCGGGUGACCCGAACCCGAUCCCGGGCAGGUCCUAGCCAGGCCAAGGCGCUAUUUUAAACCCCAGCCCCAAGCUGCCGCCUUAGCCCGCCAGGCCAUCUCUGAUUACAAAGCCACUGCCCACCUCCCAGUCACUUCUUCCUCCCUGCCCUGGGACCCCCUAGGCUGGUGCUGGGUUCAGUGUGUCUUGGGGCAGUCUGUCAACUGGCACCAAUGCUCCUCUCCAUCCCCCAGCCCUGUCCACUGAGGCACCCUCAUUCCUCCCCACACACAGGGAUCCAUCGAGCUGUAUUCUGACUGAGAUUUCUCCCAUGGAUGAGUUAUCUUCCCCAGGAAUGAGGGCACACCCUGGCCAGAAAGCCUGCAAUGCUGGGCCCAGUUUCUGCUGGGGUCAGAGCUUGCAGGCCAUUAUAGGGCUGAUGCUAUAGGAAGAAAAGAAGUAGGUUAGACAGAUAUAGGAACUUCCCGGCAGUGAGACUGUGCACUAGAGUGCUUUCCCUCCUGUCUUCCUGGGCAGGAAGAGGAAGAAAAUGUCUCCAGAGGGAGCCCCCUCCCCAACCCCCUGGUUUAAAGGCUGUGAGUUAGGGGACUCUGUACCGUUUAGCCAACCCAUAGUGCCUUCCUCCCUCCCACCUUCCUGGAGGGGACAGUUGCUCAGUGCUCAGGUGGCCCAGCUGUCAGCUGGUUGGGCCGGCA